CCUACGGGUGGCAGCAGUGGGGGAUAUUGCACAAUGGGCGAAACCCUGAUGCAGCGACGCCGCGUGAGGGAAGAAGGAUUUCGGUAUGUAAAGCUCUAUCAGCAGGGAAGAAAAUGACAGUACCUGACCAAGAAGCCACGGCUAAUUACGUGACAGAAGCCGCGGUAAUACGUAGGGGGCAAGCGUUAUCCGGAUUUACUGGGUGUAAAGGGAGCGUAGACGGUUAGGUAAGUCUGGAGUGAAAGCCCGGGGCGCAACCCCGGAACUGCUUUGGAAACUGUGUAAUUGGAGUACAGGAGGGGCAGGCGGAAUUCGUGGUGUAGCGGUGAAAUGCGUAGAUAUCAGGAAGAACACCGACGGCGAAGGCGGCCUGCUGGACUGAAACUGACGUUGAGGCUCGAAAGCGUGGGGAGCAAACAGGAUUAGAUACCCUAGUAGUC
rnacentral:rRNA from 1 species